rnacentral:rRNA from 1 species
AAUCAACGCUGGCGGCGUGCCUAACACAUGCAAGUCGAACGAGAAAGUGGAGCAAUCCAUGAGUAAAGUGGCGACCGGGUGAGUAACACGUGACUACCUGCCCUUGAGUGGGGGAUAACCUCGGGAAACCGAGGCUAAUACCGCAUAAUAUCGCAAGAUCAAAGGAGCAAUCCGCUUUUGGAGGGGGUCGCGGCUGAUUAGCUAGUUGGUGAGGUAAUGGCUCACCAAGGCGAAGAUCGGUAUCCGGCCUGAGAGGGCGCACGGACACACUGGAACUGAAACACGGUCCAGACUCCUACGGGAGGCAGCAGUGGGGAAUUUUGCGCAAUGGGGGAAACCCUGACGCAGCAACGCCGCGUGGAGGAUGAAGCCCCUUGGGGCGUAAACUCCUUUCGACCGGGAAAAUAAUGAUGGUACCGGUGGAAGAAGCACCGGCUAACUCUGUGCCAGCAGCCGCGGUAAUACAGAGGGUGCGAGCGUUGUUCGGAAUUAUUGGGCGUAAAGGGCGCGUAGGCGGUGCGGUAAGUCACCUGUGAAAACUCUGGGCUUAACUCAGAGCCUGCAGGCGAAACUGC